CUAUACAUGACUCUGCGCAUAUCAAUAAGCGGAGGAAAAGAAACUAACAAGGAUUCCCCUAGUAACGGCGAGUGAAGCGGGAAGAGCUCAAAUUUGAAAUCUUAAAGGGUUUCCCUUUACGAAUUGUAGUUUAAAGAAGUGUUUUCUGUUGAGGUUUUGGUAAAAGUUCUUUGGAAUAGGACAUCAUAGAGGGUGAGAAUCCCGUAUUUGACCUUUACUUUCAACUUUGUGAUACACUUUCAAAGAGUCGGAUUGUUAGGGAAUGCAGUCCAAAAUGGGUGGUAAAUUUCAUCUAAAGCUAAAUAUUGGCGAGAGACCGAUAGCGAACAAGUACCGUGAGGGAAAGAUGAAAAGAACUUUGAAAAGAGAGUUAAACAGUACGUGAAAUUGUCAAAAGGGAAGCGUUUGACACCAGUGUUGUUUUUCUGAAAAUCAAUUAAAGAACUGUUUAUGCUAAGUUGUUUAGACUUUAUCAGCUAACUGUUUAGUUUUGAGCUUUUCUUUAAUGCACUUUUCAGUUAACAAGUCAACAUCAAUUUCUUUUGCUGUAAAAAAGCUUGAGGAAAGGUGGCUUGAGAUUCGUCUUAAGUGGUUAUAGCCUCUUGCCUAUGCAGUCGGAGAGAUUGAGGUCUGCAGCGUAGAUCCUUCGGGGCUAAAUGCAUUUGUGCUAAGUUAUAGCAUUUUAUAGACAACUUGUUGACUAUGAUUUGUCUUGUAGCUUACUCGCUUAUGUUAUUUUACCUACGCUUAGGAUGUUGACAGCAGUAUAGACUGU
rnacentral:rRNA from 1 species